GUGGGGUAACGGCCUACCAAGGCGAUGACGGGUAGCUGGUCUGAGAGGACGAUCAGUCACACUGGGACUGAGAUACUGCCCAGACUCCUACGGGAGGCUGCAGUCGAGAAUCUUCCGCAAUGGGCGAAAGCCUGACGGAGCGACACCGCGUGUAGGAUGAAGGCCUUCGGGUUGUAAACUACUGUCACGCUAUAGGAACUCCCUGUCGUUAAUAGCGGCAGGGCUGACCAAAGCGAGAGGAAGCACCGGCUAACUCCGUGCCAGCAGCCGCGGUAUGACGGAGGGUGCGAACGUUGUUCGGAAUCACUGGGCAUAAAGCGCACGUAGGCGGCUGGGUCAGUCCGUUGUGAAAGCCCUCGGCUCAACCGGGGAAUUGCAAUGGAUACUGCCCGGCUUGAGGACGGUUGGGGUGAGUGGAACUCCUGGUGGAGCGGUGAAAUGCGUAGAUAUCAGGAGGAACACCAGUGGCGAAAGCGGCUCACUGGACCGUAUCUGACGCUGAGGUGCGAAAGCUAGGGUAGCGAACGGGAUUAGAUACCCCGGUAGUCCUAGCCGUAAACGAUGGGCACUAGGUAGAGGGGAUUCCUAUGGUCUUCUCUGCCGUAGCAAAUGUGUUAAGUG
rnacentral:rRNA from 1 species